GGAGGCGUCCGAUAGUUUGGUCAAUUCGGGCGGUUUGCUAAACCGCUGAGCCCAAAAGGCUCACGUGGGUUCGAAUCCCACCGCCUCCG
rnacentral:tRNA from 1 species